GACGAACGCUGGCGGCGUGCUUAACACAUGCAAGUCGAACGGAAAGGCCCUGCUUUUGUGGGGUGCUCGAGUGGCGAACGGGUGAGUAACACGUGAGUAACCUGCCCUUGACUUUGGGAUAACUUCAGGAAACUGGGGCUAAUACCGGAUAGGAGCUCCUGCUGCAUGGUGGGGGUUGGAAAGUUUCGGCGGUUGGGGAUGGACUCGCGGCUUAUCAGCUUGUUGGUGGGGUAGUGGCUUACCAAGGCUUUGACGGGUAGCCGGCCUGAGAGGGUGACCGGCGACAUGGGGACUGAGAGACGGCCCAGACUCCUACGGGAGGCAGCAGUGGGGAAUAUUGCACAAUGGGCGGAAGCCUGAUGCAGCAACGCCGCGUGCGGGAUGACGGCCUGCGGGUUGUAAACCGCUUUCGCCUGUGACGAAGCGUGAGUGACGGUAAUGGGUAAAGAAGCACCGGCUAACUACGUG
rnacentral:rRNA from 1 species